ACGUCUCGGCGUCAUGGCGCUGAGAGGAAAGACUGGCCAAUUCUUGAAAGCUAGCACUCCUAGAGGGGUCCGCGCUCGAUUAGCUUGUUGGUGGGGUAAAGGCUCACCAAGGCGACGAUCUAUAGCUGGUCUGAGAGGACGAUCAGCCACACUGGAACUGAGACACGGUCCAG
rnacentral:rRNA from 1 species